ACAGGUGUGACACAGGUACAGGUGUGACACAGGUGUGAUGGGACAGGUGUGACACAGGUGUGACACAGGUGUGACACAGGUGUGAUGGGACAGGUGUGA